GCCAGGUGCGGUGGCUCACACCUGUAAUCCCAGCACUUUGGGAGGCUGAGGCGGGUGGAUCACCUGAGGUCAGGAGUUCGAGACCAGCCUGACCAACAUGGUGAAACCCUGUCUCUA
rfam:Homo sapiens chromosome 5, GRCh38 reference primary assembly.